GGAUGAACGCUGGCGGCGUGCCUACUACAUGCAAGUCGAGCGAACGGCCGAGAAGCUUGCUUCUCUGAUGUUAGCGGCGGACGGGAGAGUAACACGUGGAUAACCUACCUAUAAGACUGGGAUAACUUCGGGAAACCGUAGCUAAUACCGGAUAAUAUUUUGAACCGCAUGGUUCAAAAGUGAAAGACGGUCUUGCUGUCACUUAUAGAUGGAUCCGCGCUGCAUUAGCUAGUUGGUAAGGUAACGGCUUACCAAGGCAACGAUGCAUAGCCGACCUGAGAGGGUGAUCGGCCACACUGGAACUGAGACACGGUCCAGACUCCUACGGGAGGCAGCAGUAGGGAAUCUUCCGCAAUGGGCGAAAGCCUGACGGAGCAACGCCGCGUGAGUGAUGAAGGUCUUCGGAUCGUAAAACUCUGUUAUUAGGGAAGAACAUAUGUGUAAGUAACUGUGCACAUCUUGACGGUACCUAAUCAGAAAGCCACGGCUAACUACGUG
rnacentral:rRNA from 1 species